GCGGACAUACCCCACCUCGGGUUGGAGGGGGGCCACAUCGGGGGGCAGCGGAUCACUACCCCUUAAAGAGCUAAAAAAACUUCGUCAAUCUGCUACCAGGCAAUAUUCUUUUUUUUUUGAUAAAAACGACCCAAGGGUCAACUUCAAUUUAUAGCAUCACUUAAAACAAAAUCAUGGAUCUCCUUGGGAUAGUCCACGCUAAAAUCCAUGGUACAACAAUUAUUAUCCUUAACCAGCUUACAAAAACGAUCUGCUACUUUAUUACAGCAUCUAAGGGCCCAAACAAAAUUGAAAAAAGAAAAAUUACAAAGGCUAAAAAGUCGUAAACAAUGGCCCAACGUAGUCAAAUCAGAGCUUCUUUUGUGGAACCGAUUAACCAAAUUCGCACAAUCAGAUUCCACAACAAUAUUGUCCCAUCCAUUGGUCCUAGCGAAAUUAAUGCUUUCAUCCAGUGCUUGCAUCUCAGCCCAUUCAAUUUUCAAUUCUUUAUUAACUCUCCCCAUUCUUCCUCCGAGAACGAAACCAUCAGCAUCCUUGGCCACCAAACCAAAACACAUAUCCUCGCCAGCAACAGUAGCGUCGAAGUUAAUUUUGAUCGUACCCGGAUUCGGCUUCGUCCAAACUUUAUCCAACCUCAGUCUCGGCAACAUAGGGGCCGCCACCAAGUUAAAAAUACGAAAGUCGUGGCUUAAAGACGCUGCUCUCUCCCAGGUAACUUUGGCCCCUUCCUCCACUCCCCGAAAGAUCAAAUUAUUCCUGCUGUUCCAAAUGUUCCAAAGUACAGUAACAAGGUCGGACAUAGCAAUCUUAUCCAGGACGUGGGCCGCCUCUUCAAGCCAGUCGAUACACCGAGAAUAUUUACCCACAAGGAGAUUUUUGUUCAGGCCCCCGUAUACCAGCACCUCCCGAGCCUUCGGGCAGUCCUUCAGCGCAUGAAUGAGAGUUUCCUUCUCAAUACCACAUCUCGGGCACAAUUUGUUGAAGUCACUGCAAAUGCUAGCAAUUUUGUCGAACGUGGGAAGGAUCUCGUGGCCCAGUCUCCAGCAAAAGAUACGAAUUUUUGGGAGCGUGUUUAGCUUCCAAAUGAACUUCCAGAAGAAUCUGUGUGGACCGUAGCCAACCUGCUUGAGGAUCAGCCAGGAGUAAGCCGAUUUAGAGGAGAAAAUACCAUUAGGGUUGUGGAACCACAUGCACUGGUCAUCAAAGUUAUUAUGAAUAAUGGGCACAUUACAAAUCUGGUCCCUCAAACUCUCACCAUAGAGCUCCAGGAUCCUCUUAUCAUUCCACCCAUCCUUACUAUCAUUCAGCAGCUCACACACCUUAGUCUCAGGGACCAGCCUUCUCUCAAUACGAAUGGACGAACCCGACAGUCCUUCAAAACCCCAAUUUUCGGGGGGCAGCGGAUCUCUACCCCUUAAAGAGAUAAAAAAACUUCGUCAAUCUGCUACCAGGCAACAUUCGUAUGUCUGAAACGGGGACACUUUUCUUUAGCCCGCACAUCCAAGGCACCAGGGUGCCCCUGCUGCUCGAGGCACCCGCACAUCCAACGUCCUAGGUUUCCUACGGUGACCGAGGCUCCCACACAUCCAAGCACCAAGGUGCCAAUGCUGCUCGAGGGUUCCGUACAUCCGAGCCACCAAGGUGCCAAUGGUGCCCGAGGCUCUCGCACGACCAAGGGCCUAGGUUGCCGAUGGUGUCUGAGGCUACCGCACAUCCAAGCACCAAGAUGCCGAUGGUGCCCAAGACUCUCGCACGAUGAAGGCCUAGGUUACCGAUGGUGCUCGAGGCUCCUGCACGACCAGGGACCUAGGUUACUGAUGGUGCCCGAGGCUCCCACACGACCAAGGGCCUAGGUUACCGAUGGUGUCCAAGGCUCCCGCACAUCUAACCACCAAGGUGCCGAUGGUGCCCGAGGCUCCCGCAGGACCAAGGACCUAGGUGCCGGUGGUCCCAAGGCUUUCACACGACCAAGGGCCUAGGUUGUCGAUGGUGCCCGAGGCUCCCGUAUGACCAGAGGCCUAGGUUGCCGGUGGUGCCCAAGGCUCCCGCACGACCAAGGGCCUAUGUUGCCGAUGGUGCCCGAGGCUCCCGUACAUCUAAGCACCAAGGUGCCGAUGGUGCCCGAGGCUCCCGCAUGACUAAGGGCCUAGGUUGCCGAUGGUGCCCGAGGCUCCCGCACGACCAGGGGCCUAGGUUGAAGAUGGUGCCCGAGGCUCUCAUACAUCCAAGCACCAAGGUACCGAUAGUGCCCGAGGCUCCUGCACAUUCAACCACCAAGGUGCCAAUGGUGCUUGAGGCUCCCGUACGACCAAGGGCCUAGGUACCGAUGGUGCCUGAGACUCCCGUACGACCAAGGGGCUAGGUUGCCGAUGGUCCCGAGGCUUUCGCACGACCAAGGGCCUAGGUUACCGAUGGUACCCGAGGCUCCCGCACGACCAGGGGCCUAGGUUGUCGAUGGUGCCCAAGGCUCCUGCAGGACCAGGGGCCUAGGUUGCCAAUGGUGCCCGAGGCUCUCGUACAACCAGGGGCCUAGGUUGCCGAUGGUGCCCGAGGCUCCCGCACGACUAGGGGCUUAGGUGCUGAUGGUGCCUGAGGCUCCCGUACGACCAACGGCCUAGGUUGUCGAUUGUCCCGAGGCUCCCACACGACCAGGGUCCCAGGUUGCCGAUGGUAUACCAGCACCUCCCGAGCCUUCGGGCAGUCCUUCAGUGCAUGAAUGAGAGUUUCCUUCUCAAUACCACAUCUCGGGCACAAUUUGUUGAAGUCACUGCAAAUGCUAGCAAUUUUGUCGAACGUGGGAAGGAUCUCGUGGCCCAGUCUCCAGCAAAAGAUACGAAUUUUUGAGAGCGUGUUUAGCUUCCAAAUGAACUUCCAGAAGAAUCUGUGUGGACCGUAGCCAACCUGCUUGAGGAUCAGCCAGGAGUAAGCCGAUUUAGAGGAGAAAAUACCAUUAGGGUUGUGGAACCACAUGCACUGGUCAUCAAAGUUAUUAUGAAUAAUGGGCACAUUACAAAUCUGGUCCCUCAAACUCUCACCAUAGAGCUCCAGGAUCCUCUUAUCAUUCCACCCAUCCUUACUAUCAUUCAGCAGCUCACACACCUUAGUCUCAGGGACCAGCCUUCUCUCAAUACGAAUGGACGAACCCGACAGUCCUUCAAAACCCCAAUUUUCGGGGGGCAGCGGAUCUCUACCCCUUAAAGAGAUAAAAAAACUUCGUCAAUCUGCUACCAGGCAACAUUCGUAUGUCUGAAACGGGGACACUUUUCUUUAGCCCGCACAUCCAAGGCACCAGGGUGCCCCUGCUGCUCGAGGCACCCGCACAUCCAACGUCCUAGGUUUCCUACGGUGACCGAGGCUCCCACACAUCCAAGCACCAAGGUGCCAAUGCUGCUCGAGGGUUCCGUACAUCCGAGCCACCAAGGUGCCAAUGGUGCCCGAGGCUCUCGCACGACCAAGGGCCUAGGUUGCCGAUGGUGUCUGAGGCUACCGCACAUCCAAGCACCAAGAUGCCGAUGGUGCCCAAGACUCUCGCACGAUGAAGGCCUAGGUUACCGAUGGUGCUCGAGGCUCCCGCACGACCAGGGGCCUAGGUUACCGAUGGUGCCCGAGGCUCCCACACGACCAAGGGCCUAGGUUACCGAUGGUGUCCAAGGCUCCCGCACAUCUAACCACCAAGGUGCCGAUGGUGCCCGAGGCUCCCGCAGGACCAAGGACCUAGGUGCCGGUGGUCCCAAGGCUUUCACACGACCAAGGGCCUAGGUUGUCGAUGGUGCCCGAGGCUCCCGUAUGACCAGAGGCCUAGGUUGCCGGUGGUGCCCAAGGCUCCCGCACGACCAAGGGCCUAUGUUGCCGAUGGUGCCCGAGGCUCCCGUACAUCUAAGCACCAAGGUGCCGAUGGUGCCCGAGGCUCCCGCAUGACUAAGGGCCUAGGUUGCCGAUGGUGCCCGAGGCUCCCGCACGACCAGGGGCCUAGGUUGAAGAUGGUGCCCGAGGCUCCCAUACAUCCAAGCACCAAGGUACCGAUAGUGCCCGAGGCUCCUGCACAUUCAAGCACCAAGGUGCCAAUGGUGCUUGAGGCUCCCGUACGACCAAGGGCCUAGGUACCGAUGGUGCCUGAGACUCCCGUACGACCAAGGGCCUAGGUUGCCGAUGGUCCCGAGGCUUUCGCACGACCAAGGGCCUAGGUUACCGAUGGUACCCGAGGCUCCCGCACGACCAGGGGCCUAGGUUGUCGAUGGUGCCCAAGGCUCCUGCAGGACCAGGGGCCUAGGUUGCCAAUGGUGCCCGAGGCUCUCGUACAACCAGGGGCCUAGGUUGCCGAUGGUGCCCGAGGCUCCCGCACGACUAGGGGCUUAGGUGCUGAUGGUGCCUGAGGCUCCCGUAUGACCAACGGCCUAGGUUGUCGAUUGUCCCGAGGCUCUCGCACGACUAAGGGCCAAGGUUAUCGAUGGUACCCGAGGCUCCCACACGACCAGGGUCCCAGGUUGCCGAUGGUAUACCAGCACCUCCCGAGCCUUCGGGCAGUCCUUUAGCGCAUGAAUGAGAGUUUCCUUCUCAAUACCACAUCUCGGGCACAAUUUGUUGAAGUCACUGCAAAUGCUAGCAAUUUUGUCGAACGUGGGAAGGAUCUCGUGGCCCAGUCUCCAGCAAAAGAUACGAAUUUUUGGGAGCGUGUUUAGCUUCCAAAUGAACUUCCAGAAGAAUCUGUGUGGACCGUAGCCAACCUGCUUGAGGAUCAGCCAGGAGUAAGCCGAUUUAGAGGAGAAAAUACCAUUAGGGUUGUGGAACCACAUGCACUGGUCAUCAAAGUUAUUAUGAAUAAUGGGCACAUUACAAAUCUGGUCCCUCAAACUCUCACCAUAGAGCUCCAGGAUCCUCUUAUCAUUCCACCCAUCCUUACUAUAAUUCAGCAGCUCACACACCUUAGUCUCAGGGACCAGCCUUCUCUCAAUACGAAUGGACGAACCCGACAGUCCUUCAAAACCCCAAUUUUCGGGGGGCAGCGGAUCUCUACCCCUUAAAGAGAUAAAAAAACUUCGUCAAUCUGCUACCAGGCAACAUUCGUAUGUCUGAAACGGGGACACUUUUCUUUAGCCCGCACAUCCAAGGCACCAGGGUGCCCCUGCUGCUCGAGUGACCCGCACAUCCAACGUCCUAGGUUUCCUACGGUGACCGAGGCUCCCACACAUCCAAGCACCAAGGUGCCAAUGCUGCUCGAGGGUUCCGUACAUCCGAGCCACCAAGGUGCCAAUGGUGCCCGAGGCUCUCGCACGACCAAGGGCCUAGGUUGCCGAUGGUGUCUGAGGCUACCGCACAUCCAAGCACCAAGAUGCCGAUGGUGCCCAAGACUCUCGCACGAUGAAGGCCUAGGUUACCGAUGGUGCUCGAGGCUCCCGCACGACCAGGGGCCUAGGUUACCGAUGGUGCCCGAGGCUCCCACACGACCAAGGGCCUAGGUUACCGAUGGUGUCCAAGGCUCCCGCACAUCUAACCACCAAGGUGCCGAUGGUGCCCGAGGCUCCCGCAGGACCAAGGACCUAGGUGCCGGUGGUCCCAAGGCUUUCACACGACCAAGGGCCUAGGUUGUCGAUGGUGCCCGAGGCUCCCGUAUGACCAGAGGCCUAGGUUGCCGGUGGUGCCCAAGGCUCCCGCACGACCAAGGGCCUAUGUUGCCGAUGGUGCCCGAGGCUCCCGUACAUCUAAGCACCAAGGUGCCGAUGGUGCCCGAGGCUCCCGUAUGACUAAGGGCCUAGGUUGCCGAUGGUGCCCGAGGCUCCCGCACGACCAGGGGCCUAGGUUGAAGAUGGUGCCCGAGGCUCCCAUACAUCCAAGCACCAAGGUACCGAUAGUGCCCGAGGCUCCUGCACAUUCAAGCACCAAGGUGCCAAUGGUGCUUGAGGCUCCCGUACGACCAAGGGCCUAGGUACCGAUGGUGCCUGAGACUCCCGUACGACCAAGGGGCUAGGUUGCCGAUGGUCCCGAGGCUUUCGCACGACCAAGGGCCUAGGUUACCGAUGGUACCCGAGGCUCCCGCACGACCAAGGGCCUAGGUUGUCGAUGGUGCCCAAGGCUCCUGCAGGACCAGGGGCCUAGGUUGCCAAUGGUGCCCGAGGCUCUCGUACAACCAGGGGCCUAGGUUGCCGAUGGUGCCCGAGGCUCCCGCACGACUAGGGGCUUAGGUGCUGAUGGUGCCUGAGGCUCCCGUACGACCAACGGCCUAGGUUGUCGAUUGUCCCGAGGCUCUCGCACGACUAAGGGCCAAGGUUAUCGAUGGUACCCGAGGCUCCCACACGACCAGGGUCCCAGGUUGCCGAUGGUACCCGAAGCUCCCAGACGACCAAAGGCCUAGGUUGCCGAUGGUGGUCGAGGCUCCCGUACGACCAAGGGCCUAGGUUGCCGAUGGCGCCGAGGCUCUCCCACAUCCAAGCACCAAGGUGCCGGUGGUGCUCGAGGCUCCCGCACAUCCAAGCACCAAGGUGUUGAUGGUGCCCGAGGCUCCCACACAACCAAUGGCCUAGUUUACCGAUGGUGUCCGAGGCUCCCGCACAUCUGAGGCACCAAGGUGCCGAUGCUGCUCGAGGCUCCCGCACAUCCGAGGCAUCAAGUUGCCGAUGCUGCUCGAGGCUCCCGCACAUCCGAGCACCAAGGUGCCGAUACUGCUCGAAGCUCUCGCACCACCAACGUCCUAGGUUGCCGAUGGCGUCCAAGGCUCCAGUACGUCCAAGCAGCAAUGUGCCGAUGCUCCAGCACCAUCGACGUCCUAGGUUACCAAGGGUGCCUGAUGCUCCGGUACGACCAAGGGCCCAAGGUGUCGGAGGCUCUUGUUCCAAAAGGGGAGGGACCGGGACGACUUGUAGUAUCGUUUUCUAUAUUUCGAGAUGGCUCACCAGAGCACCGCCGGGAUGGCUUGCAGGAGCACAGCCGGGAUAGUUCGCCGGAGCACCACCGGGAACUUAACCGGCUAUGGGGGGCACUGAUGUCUGGGCAUGAAAUGGACGUGGACAGUGCCCUGGACAACCACUGUUUGCCUCAAUAUCACCUCCCCUAAAGAGCUAAAAAAACUUGGUCAAUGUGGUACCAGGUGACAUUCUUUUUUUUUUUUGAUAGAAAACGACCCAAAGGUCAACCUCAUUUUAUUGCAUGAUUUAAAGCUAACUCAUGAAUAUCCGCAGGAUAAUCCAUGUUAAAAUUCAAAGUACAAAAAUUGGUCAAAGCCAAAGAACAAAGUUUAUCCGCAACUUUAUUACAAUAACGCGGAGCCCACUUAAAAGUAACACUAAUAAAUGAAGCCAUCCCUAUGUGAAUCUCGCGCAUGCGAUGGCCGAAAGUCGUCAAGUCACUGUCCUUUUUAUUAUAGCGGUUAAUAAUGCUGGCGCAAUCUAUCUUUAACUCCACCUUAUUCCAUCCCAUUGACUGGGCAAAAUGGAUACUCUCUGCCAACGCCAACAUCUCCGCCCAAUCACUACGCCCCUCCUUAUCCACCACUUCCAUCCGCCCACCCAAGACAAAGCCAUCCAAGUCCCUAGCCACCAACCCAAAACACAUUCUUUUGCCCUUGGCAGAGGCAUCGAAAUUAAUCUUUAUCCAACCCUGCUCAGGUUUUCUCUAACCUUUAUCCUCAACCUUACCCGACAAAACAGGUUCUUCCAGCAGCUUGAAAAUACGGAAGUCGUGGCUCAAUGAAGCAGCCCUCUCCCAAGUCGUCUUUUCCACCUCGUCCUCUCCACGAAAAAUAUAAUUAUUCCUAUUGUUCCAAAUGUUCCACAAGACGGUAAUGAAGUCAGACAGGGCCUUCUUAUCCAAUAGACAUGCCGCUCCUUCAAUCCAGUCACUACAUCGAACGUAAUCUCCCUUCAGUAAGGUAUUAUUGAGCCCACCAUACUCUUAACACCGCUCGAGCCUUCAGAUAAUUUUUUAAAGCAUGAAUCAGAGUCUCCUUCUUCAGACCGCACCUCGGGCAAGUACUAUUGAAGCCACUCCUAAUGCUAGCUAUUUUGUCAUUCAUAGGGAGAAGCUCGUGGCCCAAACACCAGCAAAAAAUCUUAAUCUUAGGGAGGGUUUGAAGCUUCCACGUAAUCCGCCAAAAGACUCGAUGAGGACCAUACCCUACAUGCUUUAGGGUCAACCAAGAAUAUGCUGACUUUGUCAUGUAAGAUUCGUAAGGGUUGUGGAACCAUAUAAGCCUAUCGUCCGGACCAUUAUGAAUAAUGGGGAUUGUACAAAUCAGGUCCCCCAAGUAAUCGCGGUAAAUCUCCUUGACCCUAGUCUCCUGCUAGCCGUCCCUGCUCUCAAUCAAAAUCUUACUCACAUUAUUCUCCUGGACCCACCUCUUAUCAAGCUGAAUGGAAUCAACAGCCAGCCCCUCAAAACCGCACUUGUCAUGCCAAAUAUUAAUACUCCUGCCGUUACCAACAUUCCACCUAAAACCCGGAUGCAACAUGCUAGAUGCCUUAGCAAUACUUUGCCACGUAUAGGAGGGCUUGUCCAUACUCUUGGGAUUAAAAACAUCACCGUCGGGGAAAUACUUAGCACUCAACACCCUGAAACAUAGAGUCUCUUUGCAAUUGAUAAGACGCUAGACUUGCCGACCAAGGAGAGCCACAUUAAACCUGCGUAGGUCCCUAAAGCCAAGACCACCCAUCCCUUUUGGAUGGCACAACCAGUCCCAAGCCAUCAUGUUCCAACCCUUGUUAUUAUCCUUUCCCCCCACCAAAUGCAUCUGAUCAAAGCUUGGAUCUCCUCAAGGACACCAUCAGGAGCAAAAAACACCGAGAACGCAUAGGUAGGGAUAGACUGAAGGAUGGACUUGACAAAAAUUUCCUUGCCACCGUUAGACAAUAACUUUUUUGACCAACUAUUAAUCCUUUUAGCCACCCGAUUAAUAAUACCCUGAAAGGCUGCUGACUUCUUCUUCCCAAUCGGGAUAGGAAGACCAAGGUAACCAUCCAAAUUAGCCACCACCUUCAUUUUUAGCAAACCAGUCAACGUCGCUUGUUGAGAAACAGGGGUGUUAGGACUGAAGUAAACCAUGGAUUUGUCCAAGUUGACACUUUGGCCCGACAUACUCUCGAACGAUUCCAGAAUUGCAUUGAAUGCCUCCACCUCCUUUUGAUUAUUUCUGAUAAACAACAGCGCAUCAUCAGCAAAAAAUAUAUGGUUAAUCCUAAGGCCUUGCCUACUAGCCCGAAUGCCUUUAAUAAUAUUCAGCUCUUGGGCAUGAAGCAACAUACGAGAUAAAGCAUCCAUGCAAAACAAGAACAAAUAGGGGGACAAAGGGUCCCCUUGUCGAAGACCCCUCUCCGGGAUAAUAACAUCGGACAGAGUCGUAUUACUUUUAACUCUAUACCGAACAGUGCAUACACAAUCCAUAAUUCUAGAGAUCCAGACAUUAGAAAAACCCAUUUUAGUCAUCACUUUCUCAAGAAAAGUCCACUCCACUCGAUAAUAGGCCUUGCUCAUAUCGAGCUUGACCACACAACCCUUGUUCGGACCAUUCUUAGAGCUACGAAGAUAGUGCAUUAGCUCAUGGGCGACUAAGACAUUGUCAUGGAUCAUCUGAUUGGGAACAAAGGCACUCUGGUUCUGGCUAAUGCACAUGGGGAGGACCUCUUUAAGCCUAUUUGCUAGGGUAUUAGAAACCAUCUUGUAAAUCACCCUGCAAAGAAGGAUCGGACGAAAGUUAGCCAUGUCACACCGGUUCAAAAUUUUAGGGAUCAAACCAAUCAAAGUCUCAUUGAUACACUCGGCACUUCUAGAGCCCUUCAAGAUAUCACGGCAUAACCUAAGAACAUCAGCCCCCACCGUAGGCCAAUGUUCCUUAAAAAAACUCCCCGAAAGCCCUUCAACCCCCGGGGCCUUACGAGGGUCCAUCUGCUUGAAGGCCAUCAUGAUCUCCUCAGUCGUAAACUCUCUGUUCAACCUUCUAUUCAUAUCCUCAUUGAUGCAAACAGAAACAUAAUGAAAAUCAAUCUCAGUAUCCCUAGUAAUAGAGAUCUUGAAGAGGUCGUGAAAGUAACUCCAAGCGAUGUGGCAAAUCUCCAGCUUAUCGUCAUGCCAAACACCAUGCGCAUCUUUUAGCCUCUCAAUGCUAUUCUUUUUCCUACGCCCCGAAGCCCGAACGUGGAAGAAGCGCGUGUUUCUAUCCCCUUUUUUCAGCCAUUGGAAGUGCGCCCUAUGCGCCCAAUAUUUCUCCUCCAUAUCAUAAAAACUACCCAAUUUUCCCCUCGCACUUUUAAGGAGGCUCAUGGACCCAUCAUUCGUGGGGCCAUCCAUAAUCUCGUUGAUCUCCUUCUCCAACCUUUUAAUAUUAUGCUUCAUCCCUCUAUACUGCUUAUAUUGCCACGGGCCCAGUUUGUCCUAAAUCCGCUCCAUCUUAUCCAACGUAUUACACCCCACAGCAGACCAAAUGCUGUUGAUAAUAUUUUUAGCCUCUUCCUCCUUACCCCAACAAGUAUCAUAUCUAAACCACACACGAUGAUCAACACCCUUGUCCUUAGGUUUACUACCAUUCGUGUCCAAAGGAAUAGCUUCCUGAUCGGACUUAGACUGGCGCACAAUAUUAGCCAAAAGGAAAGGCAUCAUUUCCAUAGCAACCUUAGAAAUCGCAAAACGAUCUACCCGUUCCUUAACAAGUCUAGUGCCAUCUCUGUUAUUAGUCCAAGUGAACCAGCCAUUGCAAGUCAUGACAUCGGUCAAGUUUAACUCCUCUAGAAAAUUACUAAACUCAUCCAGCUGGAUCUUAGGAUUCCUGCGCCCACCCUCCUUCUCAGAAUUAUUCAAAAUGGCUUUAAAAUCACCUCCCACAAUCCAAGCUUCAUUAACCAUACUCUGCACCCUCCGCAGCAUGUCCCAAGCUUGUUGCCUUAAGCUAGGAUUGGUCUGGCCAUAAAAGCCCGUGAACCUCAACGUUUCUCCAUCAUUCAUGCUAACCACCGAAUCAAUGUGGUACUUAGAGUAGCUUUGCACCACAACAUUCAUGCCCUUCCUCCAGAGCAAAGCCAACCCACCACUUUUCCCCUCCGAACUAACAGCUAAACAACCCUCCAUCCUGCAAAUAGUUCAAAUACGUUGGAAGCUAUUAGAAUGAAUUUUAGUCUCACAAAGAAACACCGUGUCCGGAACAUUAGCAACGAGAAGUUGCUUCAACUCACGAACUGUCGCCGGGUUCCCAACCCCACGACAGUUCCAGCUAAAAAUUUUCAUAGCUCUUAGCAGGGCUGGUCGCCAGCCAUCGCCUUAAAAGGUGAAACAUUUUCCAUCAGCUUCCUCUUGACGAAUCUAAUAGGGCUCUCAUCCAUAUGUUCGCCAUUUGAUCCCCUGUGACGUUUUCGUUUGCUCUUGAAACGCCCUAGUCCAUCCCUUACGGUCUUAUGGGUCUUCUUUCCAAGGGGGAGGUAGACAUUGACUCUUCUUCGUAGGCUUUUUCCUCCCCCUUAGCAUCGUUCUGCUCACCUUUUUCCCUCAAAUUAGUCAAACUCUCCUCAUUCUCUUCAAUCAUAUGGGGCUUUGAUAUUACCAUUUCCACCCCGUUCCUUCUUAGCCCACUCUCUUAGAUUGGGGUCACUAUAGGUGCCCUCAUCCAGCUUCCAUACUGAAGAUUUGAAUCAUUCAACUCAUACCUCUCUUAUUGUUAUUACAUCGUUUAAGAGUAUGACCUAUCAACCCGCAGAGAUAGCAAAAAUCUGGAAGCCUUUCAUACUUCAAAACCCCUAUCCUUUCCCCUCCAUCUUUAUUAACAAUUCUCAACACUCUCUUCAGGGGUUUUAGAAUAUCAAUCUUCACUUUAAUCCUCAUGAAUUCGGUCCAACCUCCAAAGUGAUCCUUCCAAUCAAUUGCCACCAGCUCCCCUAGAGCAUUCCCAACAUCAAUAGCCAUUUGACGAUCCAUGAACUCUAAAGGAAAGUUAUACACUCUUAUCCAAAACGGCGACAUCCUAAAAUCAUACAAACCAAAACCCUUUCCUUGUUCAAAAGGCAGCAUUGAGAAAAGACAUCGGUCAAAAAGCCAAGGUGACAGAUUUAAGAUACGGCUUCGGUCCUCCAAACACCCAAACUUAACGAUCACAACUCCUUUUUUUAGCGCAACAAAGUCAACUUCCUCCUUUGUGUACCAAAGCGAUCAAAAAACCCUGUACAUCGCUUCUCUGUUUGGAAUCUCGGUCACCAUAAUCUUUCCCACCACCCAAGAUUCAAACCCUUGCAUAUUUUUAUCACCAUUUGUGCUAAUAACUUGUCCCGAUUCAUCCUCUGAGAAUUUUAGCCUCUUUAAGAAAUCUUUUAUCUCUUCCGUCAACAUUGUCGUAUCGUCCUCUGUCCUAUCUGCCAUAACAACAGCCAACAGCAAAACCAAAGCCAGGUGAAAAGAAGAAGGUGGAGUCGCCAAGAAAGCCAACACACGAACCCAGGAACCCUACGCACCAAACGAAAGACAAGCAGCCACAAACCAAAUAAACCAACACAAUACACCCGAAAAAAAAGAAAAAUAGACAAGAAACUAAACGUAGAAACCCAGCAAAAACAAACCCCAAAAAAAGGAAAUAAAACAGGCGAUCAAACAAAAAACGAGAGAGAAGAAGAAAACCACAACGCGAGCCACCCCCAGAUGAAAAAACAGCCACAGAUACAGAAAGAAACCCAGCAAGAAACAAAAAAGAGACCCACCGGUCAUAGAAAAAAAAACGAAGAUCAGCCAAACUAGGAAAAAAUAAAAAACAGCGGACACAGACCUCACAAAACCCUUAUGCAUGAAGCCAUGCAGCCUGUACAUACAAAAUAGCAAAAAACCCUUCUUUCAUGCAGAUACAUCUCAACAUGGACGAAGAAAAGUUAAAGAAAAUUAAAUUUUUUGGCCUCCAUGGGGCCCUCAAAAAUCCAAAACAUCAAAGAAGCAGAAACUCAUGCAAAAAGGAAACCAAAAAUGUACACAAAUACCAAGAAAGUCAAGACUACUCAAAAAACCAACACGAAAGAAAAAGGACCAAAUCACCACGGAAAUCAAACGAGCAGCCCUCAGAGAAGACGUCUUGUCCGGCCAGAAGCACUGCCAGACCCAAUCACAUCAAAUAGGAGCACCGUACCUCCACCGAACGAAACGAAUAAAGAAAGCAAAAAAAACAAAAAACACACCAAAAUCAACGCACUCUGAAUCCUCAAAACGACCAUAAUAUUCAAAGGAAUAAGGCAGACACACACACGAAAAAUCAAUAAAGCAAAUCGCUCGAUUCUUGGAGAAAAUCACGCUACUACUGCGCUACCGCUGCUACCAGGUGACAUUCUUUUUUUUAUAAAAAAAUCCGAAGGUCAACCUCAAUUUAUUGCAUCAUUUAUUAUAAUACUAUGGAUUUCCAUGGGAUAAUCCACAUUGAAGUACAAAUUACACUUAUCCUUAAUCGCUAAAUUACACAAAAAAUCUGCAGCCUUAUUACUACAACGGCUAAUCCAAUUAACUUGGACCGAAGUAAAAUUCCUAAACUUCCUACAGGCUUUAUUAAUGCAGCAGCCCAAAAUGGUAAUGUCUUGAUCCUUCUUUUUCACCGCAUUGACUAAAUAAGCACUGUCACUUUCCAGAAUGAGCUUAUCCACUUUCAGCUUUAAGGCCAAAUUUAAGCCUUCCACUAAAGGUUCAAAUUUCGCCCAUUUCGCGUCCUGGCUUUUAUUCUCAAAGCUAUAACAACCCCCGAUUACAAAGCCAUCAUGGUCUCUGGCAACAGCUCCGUACCCAACAUUCCCAUUCACAACAGCGGCAUCGACGUUGAUUCAAAUAACACCCUCUGGAGGUUUAGUCCACCUUUUACGCAUCAGAAUAGAGGGGAUAACAGGAGGUUCUGCAAGUUUGAAAAUACGAAAGUCAUUGCUAAGAGUCUGCGCUCUUUCCCACACCACCAUGGCUAUAUCUUCCUUCCCCUGAAACACCAGAUUGUUCCUAUCGUUCCAGCAGUUCUAGAGAAGAGUGAAAAAAUUGGCAGAUGCUUUUUUAUCCAACACACGAAGAACAUUUUCCAACCAGUCGAUGCAUCGUUCAUAUCUACCCUCUAUCAGCCUAUUGUUUAUCCCACCCAACAUGAGGAUCUCACGAGCUUUAGGGCAAUCUUUCAUAGCGUGGAUGAGUGUUUCCUUCCCGCUUUUGCAUCUGGGACAAAGUGUUGAGAACUCUGUACGGAUACGAGCAAUAUUGUCAUAGGUAGGCAGAAUUGUUGGCACAUAAUUAAAUUAAUCUUGCACAAAAUAAAUUAUGAAAAGUUACGAAUGUGAAGAGACUUGAAUAUGAAGAGUUAAUAAUGCAAAGAGACUUGAAGAUGAAAAGUUACACACAUGCAUGGAUAGUCAUAACUCUUAUAGUAUUUAAGUUAUGUAAAUGAAUAGUCACAACUCCUAGCAUUUAGUGAUAUAGAUGAAUAGUCACUUACAACUCCUAUAUAAAGAGUUGUAUGUGAUGAAGAAUAUUAUUGAGUGAGUGAAAUAAAAAUUAAUCAAAAGGGUGUUUUCUUUCUUCCAUAAAAAAUAUUUCUCUUUUCAUUAUAUUCUUUAUUAUAUUCUUUGUUUUAUUUCUCCAAAUUUUGAUCAAUUUUCUACAAAUUGGUAUUAGAGCCAGGUUCGAUCAAAAUGACCAAUUCUAUUCCUCUUUCUUCCGCUCCCCAAUUAACCAAAGAAAAUUAUGGCAAAUGGAGUAUCCAAAUGAAGGCUCUUCUUGGAUCUCUAGAAGUUUGGGAGAUUGUUGAAAAAGGUUAUAUUGAAGUUGAGGCUGAAGAGGAGGAAUGAUUAACACAAGUUCAAAAAGAGAGUCUAAGAAAAUCAAGGAAGAAAAAUCAGCAAGCCUUAUUUUGGAUAUAUCAAGGAGUUCAAUCAUAUGAAGCGGCUUGGGAAAAAAUAGCUUGUGCCACCACGGCAAAACAAGCAUGGGAAUUUUUACAAAAUUCAUUCAAAGGAGAUGAAAAGGUGAAAAGAGUUCGGUUGCAAACUCUUCGAGGAGAGUUUGAAAGAUUGCAAAAAAUAGAGUCAGAAUCAGUUUCUGAUUACUGUUCAUGGGUUUUGUCCAUAGUCCAUAGUCAAUCAAUUAAAAAGAAAUGGUGAAACUAUGGAUGAUAUUCGUGGUGUUGAGAAAAUCCUCCGUUCUUUAGAUUCCAGAUUUGACUACAUUGUGGUUGCCAUUGAAGAAUCAAAGGACUUGAGUACCAUGACUAUUGAUGAACUCACAGGUUCGUUGCAAGCCCAUGAAGAAAGAUUAAACAAGAAGAAAAAGGAAGUAAAUCUAGAUCAAGCACUCCAGUCAAAGUUGUCUCUAAAUGAGAAGAAGGGAGAUUUUAAAAAUCAAAGAGGGAGAGAUCGUGGUCGUGGAAGAGGAAGAAAUUUUAGAGGAAGAGGCUCAAAUGCUCGUGAAAGAGGUGAAUAUGUAAGCACGGAGAAUGGAUGGAAAGAAGCCAACCAAAGUCAAAAUUUUAGAGGAUCACAAAGAGGAUGUGGACGUGGAAAUCAAAGAGGAAGAGGUCGUGGCUAUUUUGAAUGUUAUAAUUGUCGCAAACCUGGUCAUUUGGCAAGUGAAUGCUGGUACAAAAAAGAAGAGAAAAAUGAAGCUAAUAUAGUACAAAAUAAUCAAGAGUAAAAGCAAGAAACUUUGUUGCUCGUAUCUCAUGGUGGAGAGAUUGAUGAUGUCUGGUACAUAGACAGUGGUGCUAGCAAGCAUAUGACAGGUAACAAAAAUUUAUUUUCGAAGUUCUUUGAAUCUGAUUGUGGAGAAGUAAAAGUAGGAGAUGACAAAGCUUACAAAGUUAGCGGUGUUGGUGAGUUGGAGUUUAAAACAAAGCAUAGAAGGGUAGAGAAAAUGUCUGAAGUUUAUUUUGUUCCUGGUCUUAAAAAUAAUCUGCUUAGCGUUGGGAAUCUCUUGAAGAAGGGGUAUGAUAUUCAUUUCCGUGACAUGGCUUGCUAUUUAUCAAAGAAAAAUCAGGUUGUUGCUAGAGUUGGAGUGGCAUCAAAUAAUCUUUUCUCUCUUACCCUUCAAAGUCAGAAUAUGUCUUGUUUUAUUGGUGCUCAUAAAGGAAUUUCAAAGUUAUGGCAUGAUAGAUAUGGACAUUUAAACUAUGGAAAUUUGAAGAUGCUUUCAAGGAAGAUGAUGGUUAGAGGUUUACCAAAAAUCGAUCGGCUUGAUGAUGUUUGUGAAGCAUGUCAACUUGGAAAGCAACACAAAAUUGCUUUUCCUUCUCAAUCCUCGUGGAAAGCAAGAAGACCAUUGCAACUUAUUCACUCAGAUCUUUGUGGUCCAAUGACAGUUUCAUCUUUGGGAGGUAAUCGUUACUUUAUCUCUUUCAUUGAUGAUUACUCAAGAAAGAUAUGGGUGUAUUGUGUCCAAGAAAAAUCAGAGGCUUUUCAGAGAUUCCAAGAUUUCAAGGCAGAAGUGGAGAACUUUACUGGGCUAAAAAUUAACACCUUGCGUACAGAUCGUGGAGGUGAAUAUUUUUCAAAAGAAUUUAAGAAAUAUUGUCGAGAUAGUGGCAUCCGGCAUGAAAUGACAGUUCACCAUACACCUCAGCAAAAUGGUGUGUGUGAAAGAAAGAACAGAACAAUUAUGGAAAUGGCUAGAUGUCUUCUUAAGAAGAAGAGGUUAUCAAGAAGAUUUUGGGCUGAAGCUGUUUCUUGUGCAGUUUAUCUUAUAAAUAGAUCACCGACAAGAAGCUUGGAGAAUUGCACACCACAUGAGGCGUGGUAUGGUAUAAAGCCUAGUGUUAGUCAUCUUAGAGUAUUUGGGAGUGUUGCCUACUCUCAUAUUCCAGAUGCAAUGAGAAGCAAGUUGGAUGACAAGUCAGAGAAAUGCAUUUUCAUUGGCUAUAGUGAAAGAAGUAAGGCAUACAAGUUGUACAAUCCGGUGAAAAAGAAGAUUGUGAUAAGCCGAGAUGUUCGGUUUGAUGAAAAUUCCAUGUUUGAAGAUAUGGAAGUUGAAAAGGAAAAUUUGCCAAUUUUUCCUUUUAAAUUUGAAGAAGAAGAAGAGGCAGUAAUUGAGAAUGCUGAAGAUGAUGCUCAAGUAGGAAAUCCUCCUGCUUCCCCAAGUUAUUCAUCAAAUUCUUCUUCAUCCAGCCCGAUCCGAAAAACGAGAAGCAUCCAAGAGUUAUAUGAUGUAACGGAUGAAGUUGUGCAAAAUGAUGUUGUAUUCUUUGCCUUCUUUGCAGGAGAAGAUCCAAUUUCUUUUGAUGAUGCAUAUCAAGAAGAAAUAUGGAGAAAAGCCAUGAAAGAAGAGAUUUGCUCAAUUGAAAACAAUGAUACAUGGGAACUCACAGAUUUACCGCCGCACAAGAAUUCAAUUGGAGUCAAAUGGGUGUACAAGACAAAGAUGAACCCGAAUGGCUCUAUCAACAAGUACAAGGCAAGACUGGUUGCAAAAGGAUACAAGCAAAAGGAAGGAGAAGAUUUUACAGAGGUAUUUGCUCCAGUUUCAAGACUUGAGACAGUUCGGUUACUUAUUUCUCUUGCUGCCCAAAACAAUUGGAAAAUGUUCCAAAUGGAUGUAAAAUCUGCGUUUUUGAAUGGUGUUCUCAAAGAAGAAGUCUAUGUUGAUCAACCACCAGGGUUUGUCAAAAAAGGAGAAGAAGAAAAAGUUUACAAGUUGAAGAAAGCUUUGUACGGGUUGAAGCAAUCACCCAGAGCAUGGUACAGCCGCAUCGAUUCUUAUUUUCAGAAGCGUGGAUUCCAGAAAUCUCCAUAUGAGCAUACUCUCUACAUCAAAGGCAAUUAUCAAGGAAGAUUCAUGGUUGUAAGUCUCUACGUUGAUGAUCUUAUUUUCACAGGAAAUGAUGUGAAGAUGUUGAAAGAAUUUCAGCACUCAAUGAUGACAGAAUUUAAGAUGACAGAUUUGGGAGAACUUCAUCAUUUUCUUGGCAUUGAAGUUCAUCAAUUCGAGAAAGGAAUUUUUAUUUCACAAGAGAGCUACGCAAAGGAAGUUCUAAAAAAAUUCAUGAUGGAAAAUGCGAAUCCAGUCUCUACUCCAUGCAUUACAGGUCUGAAGUUAUCUAAAAAGGGUGAAGGAAAGCUUGUCAAUUCCACCAUAUUCAGAAGUUUGGUUGGGAAGUUGAUGUAUCUGACUUCGACAAGGCCUGAUAUCGUGUAUGCUGUUAGCUUGGUAAGUAGAUUCAUGGAGAAACCUUACUCCAAUCACUGGGAGGCUGCCAAGAGAAUAUUGAGAUAUGUGAAGGGAACCAUUGAUUAUGGAAUUUUCUAUAAAGCUAAUACAUUAGUUGAUCUCAUUGGUUAUACGGAUAGUGAUUUAGCAGGAAGCAUUGAUGAUAGCAGAAGCACUUCUGGUUAUGUUUUUCACCUUGGUAGUGGUGCAGUUUCAUGGAGUUCAAAGAAACAAUCAAUUGUGGCGCUUUCGACUAUAGAAGCUGAAUAUAUCGCUGCAUCUUAUGCAGGAUGUCAAUUGAUUUGGUUACGUGGAAUUUUGGAAAGUCUUAAGCAGAAGCAAAGCAAGUCACAAUUUUGUUUUGUGACAAUAGUUCUACUAUUUCGGUCACAAAAGAUCCAGUUCUUCAUAGAAGGAUAAAACACAUUCGCAUUCGAUAUCACUUCUUGAGGGAACUAGUGAAUAAUGGUGAUAUUCAAGUUGAAUAUUGCAAGACAGAAGAUCAGAUGGCUGAUAUCUUCACAAAGCCGCUUAGUGGACAAGUCUUCAAGAAAAAUGUUGAAAGGCUGGGAGUUCGAAGCAAGUUUAAUUUAAGGGAGACAUUGUUGGCACAUAAUUAAAUUAAUCUUGCACAAAAUAAAUUAUGAAAAGUUACGAAUGUGAAGAGGCUUGAAUAUGAAGAGUUAAUAAUGCAAAGAGACUUGAAGAUGAAAAGUUACACACAUGCAUGGAUAGUCAUAACUCUUAUAGUAUUUAAGUUAUGUAAAUGAAUAGUCACAACUCCUAGCAUUUAGUGAUAUAGAUGAAUAGUCACUUACAACUCCUAUAUAAAGAGUUGUAUGUGAUGAAGAAUAUUAUUGAGUGAGUGAAAUAAAAAUUAAUCAAAAAGGUGUUUUCUUUCUUCCAUAAAAAUUAUUUCUCUUUUCAUUAUAUUCUUUGUUUUAUUUCUCCAAAUUUUGAUCAAUUUUCUACAAGAAUAUCAUGGCAAAUUCUCCAGUAAAAAACCUUAAUUUUUGGAAGCAUUUUUAACUUCCAUAUAAUUCUCCAAAUCAACCUGUGUGGACCGAAUCCGAUUCUUCUUAGUAAUAACCAAGAAUAAGCUGAUUUUGAGGUAUAAACCCCAUGAGGGUUUUGAAUCCACGUUCUGCUAUUAUUUAUACCAUUAUGGAGAAUGGGUAAAUUGCAAAUAGGAUCCCCCAUAUUUUUGCUAUAUAAUUCCAUAACCCUAUCCUUUUUCCACCGCCCAUUAUUGUAGUCCCACAAGUCUUUGACUUUUUGUUCUUCAUUUGUUAACUGUGACCGACAGAACGAAUCCCCAUUGAGACCUUCGAUACCCCAUUGGUCCCUUCUUAAAUCAAUAGAAUUACCAUCUCCAAUCUGCCACAGAAAGCCAUCCUUGAGGGCGUCUAUCGCUUUAGCAAUACUAGACCAAGUGAAAGAUGGCUUUUCACAGUACUUCGGUCUAAACACGUCUCCCUCCAAAAAAUAUUUCGCACUCAGCACCUUAAAACAUAGAGUAUCCUUAAACUGCAUAAGCCUCCAAACUUGUCUGCCAAGGAGGACGAUGUUAAAUAGAUGCAUAUCCCAAAAACCGAUAUCCCCCAUUCCUUUCGGAUAGCACAUGCGCUCCCACGCCAACAUGACCCAGCCCCGAGUUUUUUUAUUGUUUGUCCACCACUGCUUACACAUCUUCUAAUGUAAUUUCUCAAUAAUACCAUUUGGAGCAAGAAAUAUAGAAAAGGCAUAGGUAGGAAUAGACUGAAUAAUGGCUUUAACGAAAAUCUCUUUUCCUCCAUAAGAUAGAAGCCGCUUCGACCAGCUGUUUAUCCUGCGAUCACAUCGAUCCAAAAUGUUAGUAAAGGCAAGUGAUUUCUUUCUUCCUAUAGGUAACAGUAACCCAAGAUAAUUAUCAAGUUGGUCAACCAUUCUCAUCCCAAGCUUAGAAUAAAAUAGGUGUCUUUGAGCCAAAGGAGUUUUCGGGUUAAACAUGAUCAUGGAUUUAUCAUUAUUAAUUUUUUGACCCAAUACACUUGAGAAUUUCGUUAAAAUAUUGAUAAUCUCAUCCACCUCCUUGUUAUUGUUUCUAAUAAACAAAAUCGCAUCAUCGGCAAAAAAUAAGUGAUUAAUCCGCGGUCCAUUGAUACUAGCCCGAAUUCCUUUAAGCUUAUUAUUGUUUUAAGCUUUGAUUAACAGCUUAGAAAAAGCUUCCAUGCAAAAGAGAAAAAGAUAGGGAGAAAGAGGAUCCCCUUGUCUGAGACCCCUUCCCAGCACAAUAGUGUCAGAAAGGGUUGAGUUGCAUUUGACCGUGUACCAAACUGACCGAACGUAGCUCAUUAUUUUGGAUACCCAAGCCUCUCCAUAGCCCAUUCUUAUCAUAAAUUCUUCGAUGAAAUUCCAUUCGACUCUGUCAUAAGCUUUGCUCAUAUCGAGCUUGAUCACAAAACCUUUAUUGGGUCCAUUUUUAGCACUCUGAAGAUAGUGAACCAACUCGUGAGCGAUUAGGACAUUGUCGUGAAUUAUCCGACCGAGAACAAAAGCACUUUGAUUUUGGCUAAUGCACUUCGAGAGCGUGUCUUUCAACCGAUUAGCUAGAACUUUAGCAACAAUUUUGUAUAUAACCCUGCAAAGGCUGAUCGGAUGAAAAUUAGUCAUCUCUAUGGGUUCUUUAAUUUUAAGGAUAAGGACAAUAAUGGUCUCAUUGAGAUUUUCCACGCUUCUAUCUCCCCUUAGAACCUCAUGACAUAGUUUUAUAACAUCGUCGCCCACCACAUCCCAAUUUUCAUUGUAGAAGUUUUCGGAUAGGCCAUCAAUGCCCGGGGCUUUUCUUGGGUCCAUCUGCUUGAAUGCCUUUUUAAUUUCAACAUCCGUGAACUCCAUGGUUAAUCUAUCAUUCAUCUCCCCUGAAACACAUUUAUCAAUAUAAUCAAGAUUUAGUGUUUCACCAGUAUGUAAAGUUGAUUCAAACAGAUUUUGAAAAUACUCCCUGGCCGCCUUACAGAUGUCUUUGGUAUUAUCCCUCUAGUGGCCGUGCAUAUCCUUCAGCCUUUCAAUUCUAUUCUUUUUUUUCCUACUGGUAGCCCUUAUGUGAAAGAACCUAAUAUUUCUAUCACCCUCUUUAAGCCAGUUGACUCUCGAUCUUUGUGCCCAGUACUGCUCCUCUCUGUCUAGCAACUUCCCAAGCCUUAAUCUCAUAGCUUUAAGUUUGUUUCCAUCGUACCUUUCACCAGCUCUAUCAAUAAUCUUAUUAAUAUUCGACUUUAUCAUAUCAAUCUGUCUGCUCAUCAUCUUGUACUUCUUAAAUUUCCAAGCACCCAGAUCAUGCCCCACCUUCUCCAGCUUAUCCAUUAUAUCCCCCGUAUACAUCUUCCAAGCGCUUCUAAUGAUAUUCUUAGCUUCUGCCUCUUUAGCCCAACACAUAUCAUAUCUAAACAUUAGUCUAGAAUCCCUCUACUUCUCUCUUGGCUUUCGACCCAUGGUAUCAACACAAUAGCAUCAUGAUCAGAGUUUGACUGGCGAAUAACCUUAGUUUUGAUGAAUGGGAAGCUUUCCACAUCGCUCGUCGAAAUCAAAAAAUGAUCAAGUCUUUCUUUGACCAUCGCAGUACCCUCACGAUUAUUAACCCAUGUAAACCACCCAUUGUCAGUCUUCAAGUCGACCAGUGAUAACUCAUCAAUAACCUCGUAGAAGUCAUCCAUCAGGGCCUGCAGUUUCCUCCUACCACCUUCCUUCUCCGAAUUAUCAAGUAUAGCAUUGAAGUCGCCUCCAAUAAUCUACCGUUCUUUCACCAAUCUUCUCACCCUUUUAAGCAUAUCCCACGAGCUCUUCCUGUUAUUAGGGUCGGCAUUCCCAUAAAAACCAGUGAAUUGAAUAGGUUUGUCAUUUUCAGCGUGAAUGAAAGAGUCAAUGUGAUUGCCAGAGUAGCUCUUAAUCUCAACUUUAGUGCCCUCCUUCCACAUCAUAACCAGUCCACCACUUUUACCACAAGCAUUGACUGCCAGGCAUCCCUCCAUCUUACACUUGCUUUGAAUAGAAGGGAAUUUGUUAAAAUGCACUUUAGUCUCACAUAGAAAAAUAACCUUCGGAUCGUUCGCAAUGAGAAGUUGCUUUAAUUCGCAGACAGUCGCGGACAAUCGCAGGGUUACCAAUCCCACGACAAUUCCAGCAAAGAAUCUUCAUAGCAAUAUGCUUGACUGGUCUUCAACCCUCGUUCUGCAAGAUGAAACACUGACCAGCAAACACCUUCUCACCUUGUUACUAAUCAGGAUCAUUCCCUUACGAACCAGUGAGCCCACGAAACGAAGGGAGAGCCAAGAAAGAACCUCCGAACACAGCACAGCCCACGGCCCAGUCCUCAAUAGAUGCCUGAACUAAACCUGAAAAGAAAGCAGGGACAUCAAA
rnacentral:lncRNA from 1 species